rnacentral:rRNA from 1 species
GUGAGGAAUUUUCCGCAAUGGGCGAAAGCCAGACGGAGCAAUGCCGCGUGAAGGAUGAAGGCCUAUGGGUUGUAAACUUCUUUUCUCAGAAAAGAAUUAUGACGGUAUCUGAGGAAUAAGCAUCGGCUAACUCUGUGCCAGCAGCCGCGGUAAGACAGAGGAUGCAAGCGUUAUCCGGAAUGAUUGGGCGUAAAGCGUCUGUAGGUUGUUUGAAAAGUAUUCUGUCAAAGAUUAGGGCUUAACCCUAGAUAGGCAGAAUAAACUUUUAAGCUAGAGUUUGGUAGAGGCAGAGGGAAUUCCCGGUGGAGCGGAGAAAUGCGUAGAUAUCGGGAGGAACACCAAAGGCGAAGGCACUCUGCUGGGCCAAUACUAACACUGAGAGACGAAAGCGAGGGGAGCAAAUGGGAUUAGAAACCCCAGUAGUCC